rnacentral:lncRNA from 1 species
GUCUGAGGCUCGGGUCCCGGCCGUCGAGCACAAGAGUGUAGCUGCACCCAGUGGCUGUCCCGCGCCCACCCCGGAGCUCCGAGAAGCUCUGGAACCAGAUCGUUACCACCCGUGCCUGGCUGUCCGGCCUACCCCACGCCCGCCCGGAUCUGGAGGCGAACCCGCCACCGCCGCGCCCUCCCCGUAUCCGGCUCCGCAGUGACACGCGCAGCCCUCGCCCCACCCCGGGCCACGUCUCCCGCUCCCAGUGCAGCCACUCUCCUCCGGCCGAACAAAGAGGCCCCGGGACGCCGCGGAGCCUGCCAUGCCCGGACGGGUCGCGCCAGACCAAAGGGCCAAGGGCGGAGGCGGCGGUCACAAAGCGGCUUUUGUGCCACCCACCCGGCCCGCUGCGGAAGCCGAAACUGCCCCCGGCCGCCGCAGAAGCCGGACCGCGCCGCCCCCGUCGCUCCGGGCUCGGGAGGGACUCAAAAGCCGGUGCCUCCGGCGGCCAACCGCCACCCCGCAGCCCCGAGGGGCCCGGCAUCUGCCUCCGCACAGCCGGCCGCAAUCGGCCGGCCACAGGGCCAUAACCCGCCCGCUCCCACCCGGGACCCACCGGAACCGCAACCCGGGGCAACCUGGAGGAGACGCCGGGCUCCGAACAAAGGCGACAGCGGGGAUGGGGGGCCGGUCGUGGAUUCCCAGCCCGAGAGGCGACGAUGCGACGGCUACUCACAGGAAUAUGUUUACUCAUUGAAGAUUGUGGCCUAAUCAUACAGCCGGUCCCGAGGCGGCGGCGACACAGGCGGUGGCGGUGGCUGCAGGGCAGGAGGCGGCGGUGGUCGUGGCGGAGCGGCGGUGGCGGCGAUGCAGGCGGCGGCGGGGGCACCAGACUCUACCAUGCAGUGAGCGGCUCGGAGCAGAGCGCGUAGCCGAGCCGGCCCGCAGCCGAAGGAGCCAAUACACGCGCCGAGGCGCCCUUGCGUCACAAGCCCUCCCCUUUAUAGCCGGCGCGACGUGCAACCCUCCAGCCACCAAUCGCGGCCUGGAACCGCGGGCCAGGAGCCGACAGGCGGGGGCGGAGGCCCGCCCCCUCCGGACGUCACUCCGCGGCGGCCGCCGCCGGUGUGAACCGGUUGAUGAAUGGCUAAGCGCCGAGUCGGAGCAUCCCCGGGGCGGGGGAGGGAAGGGGCUGCCGGGAGUGCUCCGGGAUGCAGGAAGCCUGAAGUUAAGAAGGGGUGGGAGCGAGAGAGAUUCCGAUUUAUCGACUGGAAGGAAUCAUGCUGCAAACCACGUUUCUCAUAAUUAAAACGGUCCAGGAGUGCACACAUGUCACAUGAGGAGACUCGAAGUUUGCCUGAAUCGUAAAAUGCAAUCCUUCUAGGGCUGGAACCGCGUCUCAGUGUCGAGCCUGCUUUCUACUGCCUUAACCACGGUCAUCUUUGCCAGUGGUUUACCUUGGCACCUGGGCCCCGAGUACCUUCGUCAUCAAAUAAUAUUUAUGUCGCAAGACCGCUGUACCCGGUGACUCAACACCUUGCAUGCCACGGCCUUAGGCUUGGUCAAGAUGAAUUCUUGUCCCUGGGGGCGCUUUCAAGCGGGGAGAAACUUACCUUCGCAAAACUUAAGGCUAUAGAAGAUGGGGAGAGUAUCUUUUGAUGCAGACGAAGCCCUAUGCUCCCUAUAUUCUUUUUUUGAUCACACCUCUCUAUACUACGUACGCGUGCAACUGCAGUUGGCUCAAUUGUGGCAUUUCGAAAUCACAUGCAUCCUUUGUACUGCUGCUCACUUGAUAUGUUGUCUCAGAUAAUGAAAGGUUAGGAAGUGCUUAAAGAAAGCGUUUUUAGAAAUUAAGAAUCCUCGGUUUUGUCAAGCACUGAUGUAAUUCUUUGCGUCAAAGCUAAAGCUCUUCUUUAUGUUCGUUU